UAGGGAAUCUUCCACAAUGGGCGAAAGCCUGAUGGAGCAACGCCGCGUGGGUGAAGAAGGUCUUCGGAUCGUAAAACCCUGUUGUUAGAGAAGAAAGUGCGUGAGAGUAACUGUUCACGUUUCGACGGUAUCUAACCAGAAAGCCACGGCUAACUACGUGCCAGCAGCCGCGGUAAUACGUAGGUGGCAAGCGUUAUCCGGAUUUAUUGGGCGUAAAGGGAACGCAGGCGGUCUUUUAAGUCUGAUGUGAAAGCCUUCGGCUUAACCGGAGUAGUGCAUUGGAAACUGGGAGACUUGAGUGCAGAAGAGGAGAGUGGAACUCCAUGUGUAGCGGUGAAAUGCGUAGAUAUCACGCAGAACUCCGAUUGCGAAGGCAGCGUACCGGCGCCCAACUGACGCUGAAGCACGAAGGCGUGGGGUAUCGAACAGGAUUAGAUACCC
rnacentral:rRNA from 1 species